rnacentral:lncRNA from 1 species
AAGUGAUAGUAAUUUUAUUGAUAACACAGAGAAAAGUAUAGAGUAGCCGCAAUGUCAAAUAUGAGUACAACAUCUCCAGUGAUCAAACACAAAAAUAAAUUGGUUUGAUCUGGAGAGAAUUACGCAUGCUAGAAAAACUUAAAAACUCCAAUUCGGCAAACAAGAAGCACCUGUACUCAAACCUACAAUACAGAUCCACCGUACAACGGUGGUAAUGGCAAAUCCGCAUUGAAAAGUCGAACACUAAAUACAAACAUCAUCAAAUUCUUAUUGAGUUUCUGAGAAUUAUUAGACUAAAAAAACAUAGAAACAAGGACACUGCACCAAUUUCCCUCCAGCAAACCAAAGAGGCUCGUAGUACCAACAUGGCUAAACCUCUUAUUUUGCACAGGUAAAAUCCGAUCCCACACAAACCAGCAAUAAUCACUUUUCCAACUCCAAACAUUGAAUUGGAGUAAAUUACAUAUGAGUGGACCCAAAGCUACAACAAAAUUAUGGCAUCUACGGUGAAUUGCAGUACUUGCUUCAAAAACACAAUAAAAACCAAAGAGAAAAGCUAGGUCGACAACACCACGCCGCAACCAUCCCAGUGAUAGAAAGCCACAUCCAAGAACAACAAAAGUCACCAGACCUACAAUAGAAAACACACAAACAAACAAACAAAAGACAAAAUCCAAAUAGAUUUGGGCAAGAGGACCUAAAAUCCAAACAAAUCUGAGGGGAGAAUAGGAGAGGGGAAGAAAACUAGGAAAAGAGAAAGGGAGAUGAGGAGAGGACGAUGGAAGAUGGAGAAGCCACCCACCCCUAGAGAAAAAAAGAGAAAGAAAGGGGGGGGGGGGGAGAUGGCGGCGGCUACAGUGCAAGCUCACAAUUUCACCUUUAGAGAGAAUUUAGGGUUUUGGUGAAGGCGUUGAUUACAUUCUUAGACAAUUUUUGUAAAAUAAAAGUAGCGCUAUUAAGGGUGGAACUAAGAAUUUUUCGGUAGAUGGGCUAGAUAACAUUUUCAGCUUAAAAUCUAGAUUGGCAAAUUAGGUUAACAUACAGUUCCGUUUUCAGGAAUACAAAUAAACUUGAUAAAAUAAUAUUUCCCUAAUAGCAUCUACAAUGGGCUCUCUAAACCACCUCUUGAGAUAAAUUUUAGGGAGGAAUUAUAAAA